rnacentral:rRNA from 1 species
AUUGAACGCUGGCGGCAGGCCUAACACAUGCAAGUCGAGCGGAUGAAGGGAGCUUGCUCCUGGAUUCAGCGGCGGACGGGUGAGUAAUGCCUAGGAAUCUGCCUGGUAGUGGGGGAUAACGUCCGGAAACGGGCGCUAAUACCGCAUACGUCCUGAGGGAGAAAGUGGGGGAUCUUCGGACCUCACGCUAUCAGAUGAGCCUAGGUCGGAUUAGCUAGUUGGUGGGGUAAAGGCCUACCAAGGCGACGAUCCGUAACUGGUCUGAGAGGAUGAUCAGUCACAAUGAAACUGAGAAAAGGUCAAGAAUCCUACGGGAGGCAGCAGUGGGGAAUAUUGGACAAUGGGCGAAAGCCUGAUCCAGCCAUGCCGCGUGUGUGAAGAAGGUCUUCGGAUUGUAAAGCACUUUAAGUUGGGAGGAAGGGCAGUAAGUUAAUACCUUGCUGUUUUGACGUUACCAACAGAAUAAGCACCGGCUAACUUCGUG